rfam:Toxocara canis scaffold978, whole genome shotgun sequence.
GUGGCAGUAGCUCAGUAGAAGAGCUCCCGCUUUGCAUACGGGGAGACCUGGGUUCGAUUCCAGGCUGCUUCC